rnacentral:lncRNA from 1 species
ACUAAACAAAUACCGGAUUCCCUAAAGUUUAUUCUAAAAAUCUAAAAAUUCUCAGGGACAUACUAGUCUCGCCGUCUAACUUCUUAAUCUCUUACAUAGGACUCUUCAUGUUGAAGGAGGAAUUUCCCAAUCCUUUGAUACCGGUCCAUAAUCAUAAAUUAUCUCUCUAUGGCAAGACCAUACAAGUUUUAUAGCCUCUGGUGUUCCAAUCCCUGCACCUCUGGGGUCACCGGCUGGUCCAAACCUGCAUAAACACAAUAAUAUUUUUUCAUAAAUUGAUGCAUCAAUACAUAUAUUUUGGCUCCAAAGAACAAAUAAAAUCACUUGAAAGACAUCUACUUACCAGUGAUUUUGUGGAGCUCCAGUUGUCCUUGCUCUUAGACCAGCAUAAGUAGUGCCAUUUACUGAUUUCCCAAUCACUUCCUGCAAAUUUAUUUUUACCCAUAAAUGAUCAUAUGUCAUAUUGAGACCACCUAUAAAGCCAGAAAUAUUUCAAAAAAUAACCCCACCCAUUGAUUUUCGGAUUUAAAGGAUAUGUAAUGUGGGUGUAAAACCAACUUUGUACUGACAUUUAAUAAACUAAUUUGCACCGACAUCCCAUUAAACUCUUUCUUUUUAUUGUUCAAGGAACAAGUAGCAUGUCCAUUAGUCAUCGCAACUUAAGAGAAGCCAUACGUACAUUAAUAAUAUCAAGUCUAAUAUCCUAAAAGCUGUAACUUUUUUUUUGGAGUGAAAUAUGA